rnacentral:tRNA from 1 species
GGAGCUGUAGCUCAGAGGUAGAGCACUUGCCUAGCAUGCAUGAGGCCCUGGGUUCAAUCCCCAUCAGAGCAA